ACAGCAAGUCUGGCUAGAGUUUCUCAAGGGUGUGCCCAUGGGGAUUAGUGGAAAGAGCUCUGUGCUUGGGUUGGGUGGUUUGCCCACUCCACCUUUUAUUCUCCUUGGGUAAGUGGCUUGGGACCUCAUUUGCCCUUUCCAAUGGGAUAGCAACAUGUUUCUUUUUGGAAGCUACUGUGAAAGAUGAUGAUCUGGGAGGGACUUGGGACACAGGCUUAUUUGUUACACAGAUGCCACCGGCCUUGCAUCUCUCUUGUGAGCUCAGAAGUUGCUUGACAUCACUGCCUUUUUCAUCAGGUGGUUCAUAGGAAGAGGCCAAGAGAGAGAGAAGGAUGCUGUAUUUAUGGGAAAAGGCUACCAGAAUUUCCAUCCGAGGUUGGUGGUCCAUUCCUCUACCUAUGUGGAAGGCAGGUUCUCCUUGACAAUAGCCAGGUCUGCAUGUGUCUUCCACUCAAUCUACAACGUAUCCACGGAGAGUGACCUUGUACUCAGUACUCAGUACUCCAGCCCCUUGGCUGGAGUUAGCUCUGCCCGCUCCACCCCUGUGCCUUUUCUGGCCCACUUGAAAUUUGAUGUCUUGGGUUGUAGCCUAUUUUUAAGGUUGAGUCUCACUCUUAGACUAUGAGCUCUUGAAAAAUAAUAACUGUGUCUUAUUUGUCUUUGCUCUUCCACUUACAUAUAGGAACUACUAAUGACAUUUAGCAAAUGUCUCUUUAUCUUUUGAUGGAGCAGAGAGAGGUCUGAGGAUGAACUGCUUUCAUCUUCUCGCUGUGUGAUCUUGCACGGGUCCUUUCCUAUCCCUCCUCUGCCACUCUUCUAGGACCGAAGGGGUUCGAGGGUGACCUUUCUGGCCACUUGCAAUUGCUAAGAGUGUAUUGAUUUGAGAAUUAAAGGAACGUGGCUCUUGAAAUGUGUGUGCGGUAGAGGCCAUCCAAAAUAGCUAAUGAAGAAACAUCCUGGGGAUUACGCCAAGUUCACAACGCAUUUUAAUGAGCCGUGAGUGUGUGUGAAUGCGUGUGUCGACCACAUGCACAUUGAUGGCUGUGGCAGGGAGGACGCUGUUUCUGAGAGUAGAGUCCUCACUUCUGAGAAACUUACAGAAGGUGGAACAGAUCACGCCGUAUUUCAUAGCAGCCUAAUUCUGACAUGCAUCUGCAAGCCUCAUAAGUCGUGGUUUGGUCGGUGCUGCCCAUCAAAUCAACUUCCUGAACUUGUUUUCAUCUGAACUCCAAGGCAGCCCAGGCGCGGGGGGAGCGCAAUCGCUCGUGUCUGACUGGCUGCCUCUGAAGUCGUCCGUUACCAGUAGUCUGUUUAGAAGGUGGAUUGUUAAUUGUUUGAUUUUUCUGCCAACAGGAUUCCCUGCAAAUUAGAAUUGUAAUCGCUGUGGGUAUUUCCUGAAUUAAAAGAAAAUAUAUAAUAAAAUAAAUAAAUAUUAGUUGUUUGGUUGUAUAAGCUUUUGAGACCUGCGAGGCUCCUCAUCAAUUAUUAAACUUGGCCGAAGAUGACAUUCCUAACUAGUGAGUGUGCCUGGAAAAAAAAAGACGCUGGCUAGAAAGCUUUGAGGCGCAAAUUUCCACGUUCUUACUGCUUGGCUCUGAAAGUCUAUGCCCGGAAGCUUUAAUUUCUUUAAUACUAUAUAAUAUAAUUAUAUAGUACUUAAAAAACAUGUAGUGUAGUUAUUAAAUAUAGUUAGAAUUUUAAAUGUAUCAUUUGAUAUAUUUAAUACACACAUGUAUAUAUGUAUUUUUAAGUGGGGUUUGGGCAUUAUUUAGUGUUCACACCUACGGAGCUCAUUUGUCCAGCGCUAUAUUUAGGCAUCAAUAGGAGCGCAUUAGGUAGCAAAUAGCAACAUGCUGGAUUGGACACACUUCAUAAUUUGAUGGCAGGAGAAAAAUGGCAAAAUAUCGCUCUGGUCAAAGUUAUUAAAGGCCAGGUUCACUACACGGUUCUGGUUAGGAGAUAAAAUAUGAGAGGGCAGCUUACAUAUUGCCGUGAUUAAAUAUUUACUGUUCAAAGAAGAUUCACAGAACUUUUUAAAAUUAAUGGCUUCGAGUCUUUGUUUGGAUAGUAUCACAAGUAU
rnacentral:lncRNA from 1 species